ACACCCAUGGUUGCAAGUUAGGAGAUCAUUUAUGAUACAAAUGUGGGUCCUUUUGGAAGUUCCAGUUUAUUAAUAAUUAUCUUUACUCUGGAUAUACCUUUUGCUACCCCUGAUGAAGUCAAAUAGACGAAACGCGUUGGAUUUAUCAGCUACAAAUCAGUAAUCCAGUUGAGGAUAACGCUCCCUUGUACCAAGUUUACACCUUGUUAAGGUGAGGGAGUUCGUACAUCCAUAUCACCUACUGGAUAUUUAUGGAAUCAUAAAAUAAUUUGUUUUCAUGUACAAUAGUUCAUAAGACCUUCUGUAUAAGGCUUUUUUUAAUUAAUUUUGCUAUUAAAUAAUUUUAUUCUAA